AAAUAAAAUAACAGAGAUAAAUAAAAACAAGAGGACGCGCAUCGGCACCAACCCUUGCCUUACAAUCCUUUCCUGGCCUUCAGAUUGUCGAAGCAUCCGCGGCUACUUGUUUUAGCCUUCUCGGAGGAUUUCUGGUCCGAUCUGCUCACGCACGGCUCCAGACAGCGGCGAGACGCGGCGAGACGCGGCGGCGGCGGCAGUGUGUUGCAGGAGUUGCGACUGAGCGAAUUGUCCGCAUGAACGCAGCUGUCAUCCAACACCGAGCGCGUCAAACCGACCUGGGCUAUGUUUCUCACGAGCCGUUGCUAUGGCACCCGACCACAAGACAAAUGGCAUUCACCCGCAGCAACUACUCAAAAACACGCCGAUCAAGCGGCGACGGAUGGGCGGCGGAGUCCUCGUCCUUACCUGCAGGUCGAUCGGCGCGCUCCUUCCUUAAUUGUCUGCCUGGUUGUUUGUUUUCCCCAGCGACGGCAGCAUCCCUGGGAUCUUUUUUUUUUUCUUUCUGUCCUCCCUUCUUUCUUUUUUUCGUCUUUUUUUUCACCUGAAAUCCAAACAACUUCCGGGCCCAUGCUGGGAUACAGACAGAGCUGUUGAUCCAGUGAUUGUCGAAUGCAUCGAUACACACAUAGGACACAAACAAUAUGUUGACGUUUAUAGUUUCAUAACAACAUAGGCUCUUAGAAAUUGCACAAUCACAGUGAGAAUGUGUGUUUUGAGCGCUAUCAGUCUAGCAAACCAGCAACAGGUUUUACGUAAAGGCCCGGAAUGUGUAUUAUUAUUUUUAUUAUUUGCACUUAUCUUGAUCAUUAUAAACACUUAUAAGUAAAAAUGUUCAGUACCUGCGGAUACACCCGAUAAUGACAGCAGGUAAAAAUUAGUAAUGACUUUGCUUCUUUUAAUAUUGCAUUUGUACCACAAGAUGGCAGCAAAUUGUUGUUUUUGGCACAAUCAAACAGGUGUAAAAUUCUAUUGCAUUAGGCAAAGUGCAAUUCUGUUAUGAAACAUCUGUUAUGAUGUUCAGGUUUUGAGAAAAAUAUUCAUUGCAGAACUUUAUUGAAUAAAUUUAAACAGCAUGGUUAUGUACAAACAUAGCUCCAAAUAAUUGAUCUGACAUUUCUGUGCUAUAGCCUUUUAAAAUCUAAUAGAGAAAACAUUUUUAAAUCACCCAGAUAAACAAUAGAAUUAAAGAAUUAUCUUAUCUUUUGCACUUCUGAAACAAACACCUGCACAAGUCUAUAAGUCUUCAAAUGAGUGUGAAGUUAAAAGAAAGUGAUACGAGACCAUACAAGGUGUUGCAUCUCUCUGACUGACAGGAAACGUAAUUCCAUCAAGAGAUCAUGCCAGAUGAAAAAUUUAUCCAUCCAUUUUUUGUCUAUACUUGCUUUAUCUAUAAAGCAAGUAUAGACAAUACAUGUUGUGUUAGCACAUACUAAAUGUUAUGAUAGCAAUAUAUUUGUUAAUAAAGCAAGUAUAUUGUCUAUACUUGCUUUAUGUUAGGUUCAGUGUCACAGGGGAGCUGGUUUCUAUGUCUGCUGGGCAAUAGUAGACAUGCAGAAUACAACAUGUACAAGUGACAAGUCCUUCACAGGGCCAUAAUAGAGACAGGUGUCACAAACAGUCACUCAUACCGUGCUUCUCAAUUCCAGUCCUCAGGGCCCCCUGCUCUGCAUGUUUUAGAUGUGCCUCUAUACCAGAACAGCUGAUUCAAAUGAUUGCAUGACAUCUUCUGCAGCCACCAAGUACUACAGAUGCCUGUUAAUCCCCCAAAGAUUCAAUCCAGGUGUGUGGCAGAAGGGAAACACCUAAAACAUGCAGGGCAGGGGGGCCUGAGGACCGGAAUUGAGAAACACUGUUAGUGCAAUUUAGAACCUGCAAUUAACAUAACAUGCAUGGUUUUGGCUGUAGGAGGAAAGGCAAAAGAACACAGGGUGUGGAAAAAUGGGUUGAGUGUUCUCAUUUAACUUUACCUACAGCCUAAAUCUUUCCAAAUUGGAAAGUUCUAAAAAUCAAAUAAUAAUUUUUUAAAAAUCCAUCAAGGUAGAUUUCAAAGCACACUUCCUUUCAGAACACAGAACUGAAAGAAAUAAUGAGGAUGAAAUGGGAUUUACAUGCAGAAAGGCCCAAAUGUGAAUCUGCAUGUAGAACAUGAAGAUGAAGUCAGAAUCUUGUUUGGUGCCAUGCCAAUCCAAUGGAACAUGUGAAGCUGCCUGCCUGAUAAAAAAAUAAAUUUCCCAAAUUUCCAAACAUAUGGACAAUGUAGAGACAGGUAAAUUUGCCCGGAAGGCAGCAAAUGCAACAGUGGACAUUGAUAUUUUAGACACUUUUCUUGUUCCAUCAGUCAAGAACUGAUGAUGAUGACAAAUCUUCCAAACAAACAAACAAAGAGCACUCAAACCUUGCUUAAGAAAUGCCUCUCAACAUAAUAACAUGUCCUGCAAACCCUGCAAAAUGUAUCUGAAACCAACUGACGAUUUAUUGUAGGAACUGCAACUGAGAGAUGCUCAAUAAACAAGACAUAUAUCUCUGUA